GUCUUUUUGAGAAUAAUUUAAAGUCUAACCUGCCCAGUGAGUUAGUUUAACGGCCGCGGUAUUUUGACCGUGCAAAGGUAGCAUAAUCAUUAGUUUUUUAAUUGAAAACUGGAAUGAAAGGUUGAAUAAGAAAAUAGCUGUCUCAAUUUAAUUUUAUUAGAAUUUUAUUUUUAAGUUAAAAAGCUUAAAUAGUAUUUAAAGACGAGAAGACCCUAUAAAGUUUGAUAAUAAGUUAUUUUUAAUUUUUAAGGUUGAAUUAAUUAGAGGUAUUAUUAUUAUUUGGUUGGGGUGACUAAAAAACUUAAUUAACUUUUUUAAAUUUGUUUUCAUUUAUUUAUGUUUAUAAGAUCCAUUAAUUAUGAUUUUAAGAAUAAAUUACUUUAGGGAUAACAGCGUAAUUUUUCUUUAGAGUUCUUAUUGAAAGAAAAGAUUGCGACCUCGAUGUUGGAUUAAAAUAAAUUUUUGGUGUAGAAGCUAUAUAAUUAAGUCUGUUCGACUUUUAAAAUUUUACA
rnacentral:rRNA from 1 species